CCGAGAGCGCCAGAGAGGGAAUACAAGCAGGGGAAGUGGGAGAGGCAGAGGGAGAAGCAGGCUUCCUGCCCAGCAGGGGGCCCAAUGCGGGGCUGGAUCCCGGGACCCUGGGAUCACUACCUGAGCCGAAGGCAGACGCCUAACGACUGAGCCACCCAGGCGUCCCUGUACGUUACAUUUUGAGGCGCCCGGGGAAGGCAGGGAGCAGAAGCCGCGGAUGAGACCGUGUUUGUUGGGAGCGCCGGCGCCAUUGCUGGGUUCCAGGUUCAGGUCUCCAGUGUGUAUGUAAUUAACUGGAACUACAGCAGCACAGGACCAAGAGCAAGAAGUCAAGAGAAUCACAGGGAUUAUGGCCUUAUGACUGAUGAGCUGCUGAACUCACACUAGUAAUACUUAUAGCUGGACUUCUCGGUUUUAUUUAGGAUCCCAUGACUCCACGACCAUGACCUGAGCUGAAGGCAGACACUUAACGGAUUGAGCAGCCCAG
rnacentral:lncRNA from 1 species